rnacentral:rRNA from 1 species
CAGCCGCCGCGGUAAUACCGGCGGCCCGAGUGGCGGUCACUAUUAUUGGGCUUAAAGCGUCCGUAGCCGGGUUGGGAAGUCCUCCGGGAAAUCUGGCCGCUUAACGGUCAGAAUGCCGGAGGAUACUCCCAGCCUAGGGAGCGGGAGAGGCCGAGGGUAUUCCCGGAGUAGGGGUGAAAUCCUAUAAUCCCGGGAGGGCCACCUGUGGCGAAGGCGCUCGGCCGGAACGCGUCCGACGGUGAGGGACGAAGGCCAGGGGAGCAAACCGGAUUAGAUACCCGGGUAGUCCUGGCUGUAAACGAUGCGGACUUUGUGUCGGACAAGCUAUGAGCUUGUCCGGUGCCGGAGGGAAACCGUUAAGUCCGCCGCCUGGGGAGUACGGCCGCAAGGCUGAAACUUAAAGGAAUUGGCGGG